UAAAUAUAGGAAAAUGUACUAUUGUAUUUCUCAACCACUGUGUCCAGCUAUAGUAAAGUACUGUGAUAAUUCAAGUGUCAUUUCAGAUCUGCGGAGUGAGAUACAAAAUGAAGACAGAAAAUAGUACCCUGAAGUCACCUAGGAAAAAUGUUUCCAGAAAUUUUUGAAAAAUCAUGGAACACAUGGUCUAAUAACAGGACAGGAUAUUGGCAAUCAGAGCUGCUCUGGAAAUCAGGACCACCACCCCCCUUGGAAAUCUGAAACACAUGGCCCCAGUAAUUAAGGGCAUGGAACUUUACCCUGAGACCACAAGUGUCCCCUGCUGCCCUCAGUCAUGAUGUGGACGGAAGACAAGAUGGGGAGAUCAGGACAAAGAGCAACAUACUCCUGGGCCCCUCCCUCUUCCAGCUCAUGUGAUUUACACACAUUCAUACACCCAAGUUCAGUAAUAAAAACUACAUGCCUACCAACCUGAUUUGAAUCACCCAUUCCUUUUAAAGGGAGAUUUUCCCCCACUCUUUUGAAAUAGCAUGAAAUAUAAACUGAACAGUCUAAAAUGUCCACUCCCACCUUCCUUAUACAUUUGCCAGAAGCCAAUCUGGCCAUUUAUUUUUUCAAGGAAUCCAUUUGCAUCUCUUUACCAUCAUAUUUCAAACUGGAGUGAGAAAUGGCUCAGGGACUUGGAGACGGCCUCAUUUUGGGUCCUAAACCUGUCUGUUUCUCUUCACCAUCCCGGAAUGAUCACAAGGUCUUCUGAUAGAAGAUGAGAGUGGAAAUCAGGUUUCUUGGCAAUCACUUGACUCAAUGUGUUUGAAUCUCCUGCUGACCAAAUGUUUUGCAGAUGCUUCAUCUACAACAUGCAUAUGUGUGUGCUGGGGAGGGAGAGGAGAGACGGCUGAACCAGUCAGGGCUGGAAGGAUUUGUGUUGGGAAUACCAGUGAGAUACCUCCUGUCUCUUCCAUUGCAGUAGUCCAUUGAGGAGUUUACUUUCUUAUAGUUCAUCUUGGCAGUGGCUCCCUUUGAGGUUCAAAAAGCUGAGGGAGGCUUGCUUUUCCACACAAAUCACUGCUUAAGCAAAGGUGAAAAUCUCAACAUCAAAACUGUAACAAAAAUCGAGCCUGUGUUGUUUUCGUUAAAACGAGUAAGACACUGUCAAAUAAAAACUGCCCUAAGCAAUUAUACAUUUUCCUCUCCUUUAUUUUAUGAGUCUAUGAAUCUUUUAUACAACCAUCUAGCAGUGUGUGUGUGUAUGUGUGCAGGUAUGUGUGUAUGUGUAUUUAUAUGUGUGUGUGUGCGCGUGCGCGUGCGAGGGCAUUUGUAUGCAAUGGGAAGGUGUAAGGCAUGAACAGGUGACAAAUAGGAGAGCUGCUCAUUGGUACUAGAAAAUUACUAAGUAUAAAACUUAAGUGAAAAUCAAUAACUUCUGUCAAUCCCUAAGACUCCUUCAUGAUGUCCUGAAGAUGUCUGUCCCAUAGUCCCUGUGUGAUCUUGUUUCUUACCCGUACAGACUAACUCCACACCAGGCUUCCUUCUAGCAGGCACCACGAGUAGUCUUGAUAAUUAUAGGUAUUUAUGGGUGGUCAGUCUCUCACCUUUUGAAUUAAACAGAAGGGUUUCCCUCUCCGUGGAUUAUAUGCAUCUCCAGUGUUACUUGGUUUCAGUGAGAAGCAUAUGGCAUGAAGAAUUCUUACACAUUGUGUAUGUCCUCUAUCAUGACUCAGUGGGUAGUAAGUAGCUAUAGUCUUUACAAUUCACACACUCAGAUAACAAUACUAACUCAAAAAUAGAUUUCUAUGACUCACUUUAAUUUCUACUUACAGAGAAUGCCUUCUGUUUGCAUGCAGGUAAAGUCAAUUCAACUAAUGUUUUGUUAAUCUGUGUUACACACUCAGUCAGUGAUCUGCUAGGUUCAAGUCUAUGUCCCUACCCAACCCUAGAGAUCGUCUACAUUUGUAGGUGAAUUUGCAGUAAUUGGCCAAUUAGGAGAGCCAACUCUUAAAAGAUUCUGUUAAAAUCUUUCAUGUAUUUGUUCAUGCUUCACAAUAGCCAGGAAGGAAGAAUCAUUUUUUGCGGAGCUAAUUCAAGACUCAACCUGGGUUGGAACCUGAGCACUUUGGGUCACACUCUGCUGACUCCCCAAUAUGAGUCUCAGGGAUCUGAUUUAGAAAUGAAUAGAACAGAAAAUGCUCCUUCUUUGUAUGCAUAGUGGGCAAUCAUAUCAGCCACUGUUAAAUAAAAAGGAAGAACAGAUAGAGCAAGAAGAUUAGAAAGGGAAGAAAGAGCACCACAACAACAGCAGUGGCAGCAACAACAACAACAGCAGCAGCAGCAACAGCAGCAACAACAACAACUCAGAAACUGUUCUGAGAAUAAAUUCAAAGUCUCCUCCCUGAAUCUCCUGGCGCAUUCUACACAUGGAUCGUGAACCAUCAUCUAACAGGGUUUUGCUUGUAGAAAACAUAUAGGGGUGCAAAUUCAUGCAGAUUCAAUUAGUGCUUUGUGUGUAUGCAUGCUUGCAGGGGCUUGUGGAUAUAUGUGCAUAUGUGUGAAGAGGCCAGAGGACAACCACACUGUCUUUUUUUCCUUUUCUUUCUAAUUUAUUUAUUUAUUUAUUUAUUUAUUUAUUUAUUUAUU